GCCCCAGUGGCGGAAUUGGUAGACGCGCCAGAUUCAAAAUCUGGUUCAGGCGACUGAGUGCCCGUUCGAUUCGGGCCUGGGGCACCA
rnacentral:tRNA from 1 species